rnacentral:rRNA from 1 species
AUGUGUCAAGUUUGUAUGACUUUGUACACUGAUAUAUGUCCUGAACUCUUGAUCAAAAUUGACACAAGAAGCUUGUUUAAUUGUUUCCUCUACUAUUAUGAUACUUUUUUGUCUGUGUUUUAUACGAACUUCAAGAGGAGCUGGUUCUCGUGGCGCCUGUAUUACAAUGAUGAAAAAAUAUUGUCAACAUGUUUGUCUCCGAUCUUGAGGAAGCAUCUUCUUGAGGAGCUGGAAGAAGAUUUUCCAGAUGAUGUUGAAGCAUACAGACAGAUACGUGCUACUUCUAAUGUUGUAAGUGGAAAUUGCAUGUAUUCUUAG